ACGUUCGACAGCGGGACGCGCGGAUCGUUGGUGCUGAUCUGGAUGUCCUUGGCCGUGUAGGUCGAGUUCGACACCACGUUGAACGUGCC
rnacentral:tRNA from 1 species